rnacentral:rRNA from 1 species
AUGAUACCCAGGUGUGUCAAAUCAAUCCUAGAUUUUAAGGUAUUUUUCGUCUUGCCUUCAAUAUUAAGAAGUGUGCCGAUAAUGCUGUCACAUAUAUUUUUCUCGAUGUGCAUCACAUCAAGAUUAUGCCGCAGAUCCAAAUCUUUCCAAUACUCCAAGUCCCACAAAGUGGACCUGCGUGUAAACAAUAAUCUCUCUUCUGCCCUGCCACGCUUCCUUUUCCCGCUACCAUUACCAGGAUGGUUUCCUGGUGUAAUAUGCCUGACCUUCUCUAAUUCCACUUGCAACUCAUCGGCGGUGAGCCUCUUGGCGCAUCACGGUUUUCAUGCUUUGCAUUGA